UACGGAGGGAGCAAGCGUUGUUCGGAAUUACUGGGCGUAAAGCGCGUGUAGGCGGCCAGGUAAGUCGGAUGUGAAAGCCCGGGGCCCAACGCCGGAACUGCACCCGAUACUGCCCGGCUGGAGUCCCGGAGAGGAUGGCGGAAUUUCCGGUGUAGAGGUGAAAUUCGUAGAUAUCGGGAGGAACACCAGUGGCGAAGGCGGCCAUCUGGACGGUGACUGACGAUGAGACGCGAAAGCGUGGGGAGCAAACAGG
rnacentral:rRNA from 1 species